AGCAGCCACGGUAAUUCCAGCUCCAAUAGCGUAUAUUAAAGUUGUUGCAGUUAAAAAGCUCGUAGUUGAAUUUCGGGGUCGGUAGGUUGGUCAUGCCUCAGGUAUGCACUGGUCUCACUGAUUCCUCCUUCCUGAUGAGCCGUAAUGCCAUUAAUUUGGUGUUGCGAGGAAUCUGGACUGUUACUUUGAAAAAUUAGAGUGUUUAAAGCAAGCUAACGCUUGAAUACAUUAGCAUGGAAUAAUGGAAUAGGACGUUCGAUCCUAUUUUGUUGGUUUCUAGGAUCGACGUAAUGAUUAAUAGGGAUAGUUGGGGGCAUUAGUAUUCAAUUGUCAGAGGUGAAAUUCUUGGAUUUAUUGAAGACUAACUACUGCGAAAGCAUUUGCCAAGGAUGUUUUACAUUAAUCAAGAACGAAAGUUAGGGGAUCGAAGACGAUCAGAUACCGUCGUAAGUCUUAACCAUAAACUAUGCCGACUAGGGAUCGGAUGAUGUUGAUUUUUAANGUACUCUAA
rnacentral:rRNA from 1 species